GAUUGGUGGGAUACAGGAAGGUUUGCUAUAUUGCCUUCUUACUACCUCUCCAAUCUAUUUUGCAUUGCUCCUCCAAAUGUUCUGUGUUGAAUUAUAUAAUAUUUGGAGAAACCUCUUCCAAGAUUCACAUAAACACUUGUUUACUGACACUAUUUCUGUAUUUACUCAGCUAAAAGAGUCAAUUCCAUAAUUUCUCCCUUUGCAAACACACCAACUGACUGUCAGUGAUAUUAUAAUUGCCUAUUUUAGAGUUCCUGCAAACACGCUGCAAAAGGAAAAC